UCCCCGUUGCCGGGGCAGUCUGAAUAGAAAAAUCCAACUAUUCAUAAGGGUUGCGCUCGUUGAUGGACUUAACCAAACAUCUCACGACACGAGCUGACGACGGCCAUGCAACACCUGUCACUUGGUUCCAAAAGGCACACUCUGCUUUCGCAGAGCUCCCAAGGAUGUCAAGCCCUGGUAAGGUUCUUCGUUUAGCAUCGAAUUAAAGAACACGCUCCACCGCUUGUGCGGGUCCCCGUCAAUUCCUUUAUGUUUUAGCCUUGCGGCCGUACUCCACAGGCGGGAUGCUUAACGCGUUAGCUUCGCUACGGAAGGGGUCGAUACCCCCCACAGCUAGCAUCCAUCGUUUACGGCGUGGACUAC
rnacentral:misc_RNA from 1 species